GGCCCGGUGGCUCAGGUGGCUGGAGCGCCGCGCUCCUAACGCCGAGGUCAUGGGUUCGAUUCCCGGAUGGGCCA